UUUUACAAUGGAGAGUUUGAUCCUGGCUCAGGAUGAACGCUAGCUACAGGCUUAACACAUGCAAGUCGAGGGGAAACGGCAUUGAGUGCUUGCACUCUUUGGACGUCGACCGGCGCACGGGUGAGUAACGCGUAUCCAACCUGCCCUUUACUUGGGGAUACCCCGUUGAAAGACGGCCUAAUACCCGAUGUAAUUCAUUGAUGGCAUCAGAUAUGAAUAAAAGAUUUAUCGGUAAAGGAUGGGGAUGCGUCUGAUUAGCUUGUUGGUGAGGUAAUGGCUCACCAAGGCGACGAUCAGUAGGGGUUCUGAGAGGAAGGUCCCCCACAUUGGAAC
rnacentral:rRNA from 1 species